rnacentral:rRNA from 1 species
UGGGGAAUAUUGCACAAUGGGCGCAAGCCUGAUGCAGCCAUGCCGCGUGUAUGAAGAAGGCCUUCGGGUUGUAAAGUACUUUCAGCGGGGAGGAAGGUGUUGUGGUUAAUAACCGCAGCAAUUGACGUUACCCGCAGAAGAAGCACCGGCUAACUCCGUGCCAGCAGCCGCGGUAAUACGGAGGGUGCAAGCGUUAAUCGGAAUUACUGGGCGUAAAGCGCACGCAGGGGGUCUGUCAAGUCGGAUGUGAAAUCCCCGGGCUCAACCUGGGAACUGCAUUCGAAACUGGCAGGCUAGAGUCUUGUAGAGGGGGGUAGAAUUCCAGGUGUAGCGGUGAAAUGCGUAGAGAUCUGGAGGAAUACCGGUGGCGAAGGCGGCCCCCUGGACAAAGACUGACGCUCAGGUGCGAAAGCGUGGGGAGCAAACA